rnacentral:lncRNA from 1 species
CAACGUCGUGAAAAUAUAUCUCGAACCACGUUACAUCAAUGCACUCGUGGUUAUUGACAUAUCUCGACUCGGUUGAGAUUUGGAUUUGGGUCACAUAAAUGUGCACCCGAAUUAAGAAAAAUAAAUUAUUAAGACGCGCCUAAAGCAACUAACGUAGUGUUAUUUUGGGGAAGGCCGUAAAAUUCGCUAAACGGCCUGUUCCGAAUUCUAAGUAUUUUAAUAUAUACAUUUGGAGGGCCCCGCAGCUUGUGCAUUUUUGUUUAUUGAGGCUCGUCUCAUUCAUUAUUUUUAAAAGGAAUUUGCAACGUCAUGGAAAUGCAUCUCAAACCACGCCACAAUCAAUAUACCCGUGAUUAGAGACACAUUUCAAUUUCAUUGAGACUUGGAUUUGGGUCACAUAAAUGUGCACCCGAGUUUAAGGAGAUAACACUAUUAAAUACGCGCUUAAAUAGACUAUCGCGUUAUUAUUCUGGGAGGGCCGUGAGAUUUGCUAAACGACCCGUCCUGGAAACUGAAUGCUUCGAUAAUAUACUCUUAACGAGGGCCCCGCAGCUUGUGCGUUUUUAUUUGUCGAGGCUCAUCUCGUCUUUGUUUUAACAGGAUAUCCUAUAACAACUACGUUUCUUGUCGCGCUUGUCUCUACUAAUUGAAAGCAUAGAUAGUCCUAGUUAAUUAUAUGUUUGCAGGUCGUUUAUAGCAGAAUUCAGAAUGCUUAAAAAAUCAGAAACAAGGCCGCGCCCCACGGACAAGCGAACGAAUCUCGUGGGCCCAAACCCAGUUUGUGCGGGAUGGGCCAGGCUUGGGCCACUGGUUCUCCGACCAGGCACUGCUUGGUCCGUUUCAACUUGGGCUCGACCUUUAUGAGGUUGAGACCGUAAACUUGCAUUCUUUGUUCUAAAAGUGUGGUUUAUCAAUUAUAACAAAGCAGCUUAUCAAAAGGAAAUGAACUUAGCUAACAAUGGAUAGCUUUGUGCAUGACAGACAUUCAAUGACAUGCUUGAACAAAAUUGACUAAAGUUUAAUAUGUAACCUACUGCCUUGUGAAUACUUUUAACUACCAGCCCAUAUAUACAAAUUAACAUUCAAUUACCCUACAUUGAUAUUUACUAGGCAUGCAGGCUACUUCCAGUAUCCAAACAAGGAUGUAAAUUGUUAUAUAUUACAUGAUGUUUGAGGUAACAGUCUAUAUAUGAAAUAAACAUCUUCAGCUCUUCUCUUUGUAUUCAUGCUCAACUUUUCAAGUUACAUCGACACUAUUAAUCAUGUACCUGGUAUAGCAAAGCAAAAGAAUGAGGAGAAUGGUCAGCUGAAUAGUAGGCAGCAAAUACAGCGACAGCAAGUAAACAGCAACAAACACAGCAACAGCAACCAACAAUGGCACCACUAGUUCACGAACGACCAACAACAAUUUCAGACACUGAACCCACAGGUGGUCGGGCAACCAACAAACAAUCCCAGCAACAGAGUAGUGAACCAGCAGAAACAACAGAGUAUUUAAUGCAACAACACCAGCAGUUCAACAAUCACAAGCAACUCAGCAGGCAACCAACAGCAAUGGGCCAAGGCAGCUUGACCAACUUGAACUCUUAUGUAAUUUUCAGACAGUGUUUGGUUACAAUAUUCUGAGACUUUAUGUUUUUGUUUUCUCUGAAGACUAAAAAAAUGUCCAGCCCCUUUUAAGUUCUGAAACAGCUUAUUUAUAAGCCAACAACCCAGUGCAGCUAAGCUGCCUGGAUUCUGCCAAUUACAGUCUGCCCAUACCCCUUAGCUUCCCAUGCCUAAAGGCAUUUUCUUGGAAUCCUUAAUCAGCCCCCCAUGCUCUGUCUCAUUACUCUAAUCAAGGGUUAUGGGCUUAGUUAAGUAUUCAUUUAAUUCUCAUGCUCUUGUGUUUUGUUCCCCAUUAAUAGUAUUUUAA